UAAUCUUAAAUUAUAGAAAAA
rnacentral:piRNA from 1 species